rnacentral:rRNA from 1 species
GAUGAACGCUGGCGGCGUGCCUAAUACAUGCAAGUCGAGCGAACGGACGAGAAGCUUGCUUCUCUGAUGUUAGCGGCGGACGGGUGAGUAACACGUGGAUAACCUACCUAUAAGACUGGGAUAACUUCGGGAAACCGGAGCUAAUACCGGAUGAUAUUUUGAACCGCAUGGUUCAAAAGUGAAAGACGGUCUUGCUGUCACUUAUAGAUGGAUCCGCGCUGCAUUAGCUAGUUGGUAAGGUAAUGGCUUACCAAGGCAACGAUGCAUAGCCGACCUGAGAGGGUGAUCGGCCACACUGGAACUGAGACACGGUCCAGACUCCUACGGGAGGCAGCAGUAGGGAAUCUUCCGCAAUGGGCGAAAGCCUGAUGGAGCAACGCCGCGUGAGUGAUGAAGGUCUUCGGAUCGUAAAACUCUGUUAUUAGGGAAGAACAUAUGUGUAAGUAACUGUGCACAUCUUGACGGUACCUAAUCAGAAAGCCACGGCUAACUACGUG